rnacentral:rRNA from 1 species
AUGGACGAUGGUGCCCAUGUGGAGGCGGUGCUGGGAGGCCGCGUGGAGCAGGAGGUAGUGGGAGUCGCGGGCGCUGCUCUGCCUCCGAGAUCGGCCGCCGCCGCCGCUGCUCCGUUGUCGGAUCGGCCGCCACUGUGCGGCUCUGUUCGUCAGAUCGGACGCCCGCCGCUGCUCCACCUCUUCCCUGUCAGACCCCAGGAUCCCGCCGCAGUGACCAAGUCAUCCUUUCGACGGGGAGACACGAGGGACAGGAGUGUGCCGGCGGUGAGACAUGAGCGAAGGGUUGAGGCUGGGGCAUGGUUUGGUCGAGGGAGAGAGGGCAGAGUUGGGGGAGAAGGGAAGACGUGA